AUGCGGCGAAUUGAUUUUGCAUUGAUUGAUUGUCUGUAUUGAAUUGAAGGAUAAUAAUUGAGCUUCAUAAUUACUCCAGUUAUUUUACUUUUUUUGAUAUUUUAGUUAGUUACUUUCCCGCCCUUUGCCUAAUUGUUUCAUUUUUUAUUAUUAUUUUUUUUGAACGGAUGCUUAAUUGUUCAUGAGUGUAACUCACAUGUUCAUAGCUUACUAUAAAUAAGAUUUGUAUGCAUCAGUUUCAAUUUACGAGAAUUAUUCUAUUUUCUCCUUCAAUCUCACUCUCUCUCUCUCUCUCUCUCUCUCUCACGCACUCUAACGAACUCUAAUAAACCUAACACUUAAUCGAGGUUUGCGAUUCAAUCUCUGGUUCUGUUGCUGCGAAAACCGUGAAUUGAAGUUUCUCUUGCUCUUAUUUUCACUUUAACAUUAAAUUCUAGUGUCGAUUUUCAGUUUUCUUUUGUGAUCAGAGAGACACUUCUUUGCGAUUUGGCAUUU
rnacentral:lncRNA from 1 species